AUUGAACGCUGGCGGCAGGCUUAACACAUGCAAGUCGAGCGGAGAUGAGGUGCUUGCACCUUAUCUUAGCGGCGGACGGGUGAGUAAUGCUUAGGAAUCUGCCUAUUAGUGGGGGACGACAUUCCGAAAGGAAUGCUAAUACCGCAUACGUCCUACGGGAGAAAGCAGGGGAUCUUCGGACCUUGCGCUAAUAGAUGAGCCUAAGUCGGAUUAGCUAGUUGGUGGGGUAAAGGCAUCCCAAGGCGACGAUCUGUAGCGGGUCUGAGAGGAUGAUCCGCCACACUGGGACUGAGACACGGCCCAGACUCCUACGGGAGGCAGCAGUGGGGAAUAUUGGACAAUGGGGGGAACCCUGAUCCAGCCAUGCCGCGUGUGUGAAGAAGGCCUUAUGGUUGUAAAGCACUUUAAGCGAGGAGGAGGCUACUGAGACUAAUACUCUUGGAUAGUGGACGUUACUCGCAGAAUAAGCACCGGCUAACUCUGUGCCAGCAGCCGCGGUAA
rnacentral:rRNA from 1 species